UACGGAGGGUGCAAGCGUUAAUCGGAAUUACUGGGCGUAAAGCGCACGCAGGCGGUCUGUCAAGUCGGAUGUGAAAUCCCCGGGCUCAACCUGGGAACUGCAUCCGAAACUGGCAGGCUAGAGUCUUGUAGAGGGGGGUAGAAUUCCAGGUGUAGCGGUGAAAUGCGUAGAGAUCUGGAGGAAUACCGGUGGCGAAGGCGGCCCCCUGGACAAAGACUGACGCUCAGGUGCGAAAGCGUGGGGAGCAAACAGGAUUAGAUACCCUGGUAGUCCACGCCGUAAACGAUGUCGACUUGGAGGGUGUGGCCUUGAGGCGUGGCUGCCGGAGCUAACGCGUUAAGUCGACCGCCUGGGGAGUACGGCCGCAAGGUUAAA
rnacentral:rRNA from 1 species